GCCGGCAGCUAGCUCUCUGCAACUCUCACAUGGUCGCCCACUGAAGCUAAGCAGGGCUGCGCCCGGUCAGUACCUGGAUGGUAGACCACAUGGGAAAGCUAGGUUGCUGCCGGAA
rnacentral:rRNA from 1 species